rnacentral:rRNA from 1 species
UACGUAGGGUGCGAGCGUUGUCCGGAAUUAUUGGGCGUAAAGAGCUUGUAGGCGGUUUGUCGCGUCUGCUGUGAAAUCUCAAGGCUCAACCUUGAGCUUGCAGUGGGUACGGGCAGACUAGAGUGUGGUAGGGGAGACUGGAAUUCCUGAUGUAGCGGUGAAAUGCGCAGAUAUCAGGAGGAACACCGAUGGCGAAGGCAGGUCUCUGGGCCACUACUGACGCUGAGAAGCGAAAGCAUGGGGAGCGAACAGG